UGUUGGAAUGCAAUUACACUAACGUGGUGGAUUGUAAUCAUGUACCAGCAGUGGGAAUGGCAAUGGCAACUGUCAACUGUGUUUGUGGACAAAACUUCCAAUGGACCAUGGAUGAAUGUCAACCAACACAUUGUCCGGAUUUAAGCUCGGCAACAUUGGUGACUAUACCCAGGAGUGCUGUUGGUACCAACAGGAGUGUAUCAUGUAAGACUGGUUACGAUAAUAUCUCCAUGCCGUCUUCAGUGAAUUGUCAAGUUAAUGGAACAUGGACUACACUCCCAACUUGCCAAGAAUCUACGGAUCCAACUCCUUCCACGGGUACGUUCUAAUCUGUCGUUUGCCUUACUCUGCACUUGCACUGGAUGCACCAAUCACUGCACCGAGUUUGAGAACACGUUAUGACCAUGCUAUGUAUUGUACUGUUCCCACUGUAUUUGAUCAUUGUUAUCAGAUCUCUAGGUUCUCUUGAAGGGAAAACUUGAAGCACAACACUACAUGUACUAAAAACGCAUCGAUUUGCUUGUAGCAUGCCCAUGCACCACUCACCCAAAGCCAGUUGUGUAGCACACACAGGAACGUAGGAGACUACCAGAAGCAGCACAGUUGUCACCACAACUACUGGCUCAGAAGUGACUAUUAUCAGUAACAAC